CUUCGCACUGCCUUGUUGUAUUUUUACUGUUUUUACAGUUUUGAGAUCCUUAUAGGACAAUCUCUUCAAAAAAGUUACUAGGAUGUUCUUAGCUUGUGUUCAAUGUUUUGGUGCCAAAGUUGGCACAUCAUUUUCCCAUCAUUUUCAGGGUUGCCUUUCCUUUUCUCUCCUUUAUCUCUCGACUUAUCGUUUCUAAUUAACCAAUUCACCCCUCCUCAGUUCCUAUAAUCGUUAUUGCCAUAAUUCAUCACGUAUAUGCAGUUCAUACUAUUGAAGUUGAAGUAAAUAACAAUAAAUUUGAAUACUGGUCCUAUAAUUAUUUAGGUUACACAAUGUCUCACACCAGUACUUGUCCCAUUACCUAUUUACACC